CGGGGCAUAGCGCAGCCUGGUAGCGCACCAGUCUGGGGGACUGGGGGUCGUAGGUUCAAAUCCUGCUGUCCCGA
rnacentral:tRNA from 1 species